CCCUUAGACGUUCUGGGCCGCACGCGCGCUACACUGAUGCAUUCAACGAGUCUAAAACCUGCUCUGAUAGGGGUGGGUAAUCUUUUGAAUGUGCAUCGUGAUUGGGAUAGAUGAUUGCAAUUUUUCAUCUUCAACGAGGAAUGCCUAGUAAACGCAAGUCAUCAGCUUGCAUUGAUUACGUCCCUGCCCUUUGUACACACCGCCCGUCGCUCCUACCGAUUGAAUGAUCCGAUGAAUAUCAUGGAUUGAGGAUGCAAGUAGGUUCGCCUAUCUUCAUCUUCGAGAAGUGAAGUAAAUCUUAUCAUUUAGAGGAAGGAGAAGUCGUAACA
rnacentral:rRNA from 1 species